rnacentral:rRNA from 1 species
UACGGAGGGUGCGAGCGUUGUCCGGAAUCACUGGGCGUAAAGGGUGCGUAGGCGGCGGAGUAAGUUGGGUGUGAAAUCCCGGGGCUCAACCUCGGAAUGGCAUUCAAUACUGCUUCGCUAGAGUACUGGAGAGGAGGCUGGAAUUUACGGUGUAGCAGUGAAAUGCGUAGAUAUCGUAAGGAAGGCCGGUGGCGAAAGCGAGCCUCUGGACAGUUACUGACGCUGAUGCACGAAGGCCAGGGGAGCAAACGGG